GAUGAACGCUGGCGGCGUGCCUAAUACAUGCAAGUCGAGCGAACGGACGAGAAGCUUGCUUCUCUGAUGUUAGCGGCGGACGGGUGAGUAACACGUGGAUAACCUACCUAUAAGACUGGGAUAACUUCGGGAAACCGGAGCUAAUACCGGAUAAUAUUUUGAACCGCAUGGUUCAAAAGCGAAAGACGGUCUUGCUGUCACUUAUAGAUGGAUCCGCGCUGCAUUAGCUAGUUGGUAAGGUAACGGCUUACCAAGGCAACGAUGCAUAGCCGACCUGAGAGGGUGAUCGGCCACACUGGAACUGAGACACGGUCCAGACUCCUACGGGAGGCAGCAGUAGGGAAUCUUCCGCAAUGGGCGAAAGCCUGACGGAGCAACGCCGCGUGAGUGAUGAAGGUCUUCGGAUCGUAAAACUCUGUUAUUAGGGAAGAACAUAUGUGUAAGUAACUGUGCACAUCUUGACGGUACCUAGUCAGAAAGCCACGGCUAACUACGUG
rnacentral:rRNA from 1 species